UUUUAGAAGUAGUCCUCGUUACCUUCUAAUUUAUGUGCGUCCAUGGUUUUCGAUAAACUAAAGAAUUCGCACUUAAUUUCACCAUUAAGAAGAUACAUGUAAAUAUCUGUAAGGUAAAAACCCUAAGAUCGUCUUAGUAUAUACAGAUACGAUAAAUUUCAGAUGUUAUAGUAGUUAUGAGUUGGAUGCAUUUAUAGGCAUGGGGGCUGGUUAUCGCAGGGCAAGAGAAAACACAGUUCCAAUAGAAAAAUAGCAACACAUGGAUGUGAUGUAGGGAAAUUUUCACAUACACCCUCUUUAUCUUUAAAAAUUUUCAAAGUGGCCCUUCAUCAUUCCCAAAUGAUCCUACCAUCAUUUCUCUUAACAGUAUGGUAUCACUUCACCGUAUACCAUAAUUCUAUUGUUUAAUCAAAAUGUUCGUAUUAUCAUUUUUUUUGGAAGUCCAGUAUUGGUUUAAUGAACAAAUGGAAAGCAAGAUUAGAGUCUCGGAUCAACCACCAUUGGAACAAAGUUUAUGUGCGAUCACCCACCACACGACCUAAAAUAUAGAAAUUUUGAUCUCCGGUAAGCCAUGUGCGGAGUCUCCAAUUUAGAGUUCACAUUGGUUCAAUUUUGAUCUAGCUUAGUGUAAAUCCGCAGUUGGAUCAUCGAUCGCAUACAUCUCAUUUAUUCAUCUGCUUGCAUAAAUCUCAAGGUGACCAAUGGAUGAUCCAAUGGUGGAUUCCACUUUGAUUGAAGAGGGCCACGCGAGUCUAGGUGAAGAGAUCCACCCUAGCAGCUAUUGAUGCUGCUCCCUCCCAUGAUGGCGACCCCAAUAGCGCUAGUUUACUAGAUGAUCCAAUAGCAGAUUCCACCCCACUGCCCCUAAUAAUGCCCCUAUUCGUCAUAAUCCGCCGCUGGCAUCAACAAACGUUCAUGGCCACAACCUGCAGCAAUAGCCAAUCACCAUCACAGCCAACAACCUAUUGCUGGCAAAAAUCAUAGCCCUAACCCCAACCAUAGCCCCUUGAUGAAGGAUCCCUUUGCAUGCAAUGGCGGUGGACGAUGGUAAGGGCAUUAGGGUGGCAGUGCCCACCCUCAAA
rnacentral:lncRNA from 1 species